GACAGAGAAGUGUUUCAGAAUACGGAACAUGCUCGGAACCUCAGAGUGCGUUUCGCCAUCCGGAGCCUACAGUGACCGCAGAGCUAGUCAUAAUUCAGUGGGGUGAGGCGACUCGCUAUACCUUUUCUUGUGAGUUAAGCUUACCAUCUCGGGCUUCUGGACGUUGUAUCUAAGAUUAUCUAUAUAAAUUGACCACAAUAAAUAUCCGUUUCAAGCAGAAGGACCCCGUUGUGACCUAAUCUGUGCCUGCUGCGGGUUACGAAUGUGGCGGCGCUGACCAAUGCAAGUCCGUCUGUGUGGUGGCAGGACAGUCGGCUAUACUGACUUGGCAACGUUGUAAGCAUCAGUUUCCUGUUCCCUUUGAUGUGGACGCACGGCAGCCAAAGCGCUGGGUCGAGUCGUGUGGUGCCAGGAAGCCUUGUAAGGAUGGAUGCCUCAGCGUGUGGGUAUCUUCCCUGGCAGAAGUGAUCGAGUUACGGAGAGGCAAGGGGAAUGUUGGUCAGGGGCUGGUUGGAGUACUUGCGUUCUGUGCCUCACUGACUACCUGGGCCUGAAUUGGUGAGUCAGUAUGGACGAGGGUGGAGAGCAAGGCUUCCCUACACUCCUCGCUGCUGAUGGCUAACACUGGGAACAAGAAGUCUGUCGCUGAGG
rnacentral:lncRNA from 1 species